rnacentral:rRNA from 1 species
CCCGGCGACCGGCGCACGGGUGAGUAACAUGUAUGAAACCUGCCCGUAGCAGGGGGAUAAGCGGAAGAAAUUCCGUCUAAUACCGCGUAACAACCCAUGGAGGCAUCUCUGUGGGUUUAAAGGAAGCGAUUCCGGCUACGGAUGGUCAUGCGUCGCAUUAGCUUGUUGGCGGGGUAACGGCCCACCAAGGCGACGAUGCGUAGGGGUUCUGAGAGGAAGGUCCCCACACUGGUACUGAGACACGGACCAGACUCCUACGGAAGGCAGCAG